rnacentral:rRNA from 1 species
UCUUUUCUCAGGGAAGAAUGAUGACGGUACCUGAGGAAUCAGCAUCGGCUAACUCCGUGCCAGCAGCCGCGGUAAUACGGAGGAUGCAAGCGUUAUCCGGAAUGAUUGGGCGUAAAGCGUCCGCAGGUGGUUGUGUGUGUCUAUUGUCAAAGCGUCACGCUUAACGUGAUAUGGGCAGUAGAAACU